rnacentral:rRNA from 1 species
GAACGAACGCUGGCGGCAGGCCUAACACAUGCAAGUCGAGCGCACUCUUCGGAGUGAGCGGCGGACGGGUUAGUAACGCGUGGGAAUAUGCCCUUCUCUAAGGAAUAGCCACUGGAAACGGUGAGUAAUACCUUAUACGCCCUUCGGGGGAAAGAUUUAUCGGAGAAGGAUUAGCCCGCGUAAGAUUAGAUAGUUGGUGGGGUAAUGGCCUACCAAGUCNACGAUCUUUAGCUGGUUUAGAGGAUGAUCAGCAACACUGGGACUGAGACACGGCCCAGACUCCUACGGGAGGCAGCAGUGGGGAAUCUUGGACAAUGGGCGCAAGCCUGAUCCAGCCAUGCCGCGUGAGUGAUGAAGGCCUUAGGGUCGUAAAGCUCUUUCGCCAGAGAUGAUAAUGACAGUAUCUGGUAAAGAAACCCCGGCUAACUCCGUGCCAGCAGCCGCGGUAAUACGGAGGGGGUUAGCGUUGUUCGGAAUUACUGGGCGUAAAGCGCACGUAGGCGGAUCAGAAAGUAAGGGGUGAAAUCCCAGGGCUCAUCCUGGAACUGCCUC